ACUACAGUAGGGCAACACCUAUAGUUCCAGCUACUCAGGAAGUUGAGGCAGGAGGAUCACUUGAGUCUAGGAGUUCUGGGCUGUAGUGCUAUGCUGUGUGCCCUAAAUUUGGCAUCAAUAUGGUAAUUUCUCAGGAGCAAAGGAUCACAGGUUGCCUUAAGAGGGGUGAACAUCCCAGGUCAGAAAUGAAGCAAGUCAAAACUCCUGUGCUGAUCAGUAGUGGGACUGGGUUUGUGCCUGCGAAUAACCACUGCAUUUCAGCCUGGGGAACACAGUGAGACCUUGUCUUUU
rnacentral:SRP_RNA from 1 species